rnacentral:tRNA from 1 species
GCUGAGUGUAGCUCAGUGGUAGAGCACUUGCCUAGCAUGUGCUAGGCCCUGGGGUUCAAUACCCAGCAUAACU